rnacentral:rRNA from 1 species
UACAGAGGGUGCAAGCGUUGUUCGGAGUUAUUGGGCGUAAAGCGCGUGUAGGCGGCUUUGCAAGUCGGGUGUGAAAGCCCUCAGCUUAACUGAGGAAGUGCGCCCGAAACUGCAGAGCUUGAAUACCGGAGAGGAUGGCGGAAUUCCCCAAGUAGAGGUGAAAUUCGUAGAUAUGGGGAGGAACACCGGUGGCGAAGGCGGCCAUCUGGACGGCUAUUGACGCUGAGACGCGAAAGCGUGGGGAGCAAACAGG